GGAGUUCGACUAAGACAUGCAAGUCUAUUUCGUAAGGAAUGGCGUAAGGCUCCGUAACACGUCAAUAAUCUAACCUAAGGAGGCGGGCAAUCUCGGGAAACUGAGUGUAAUUCGCCGUAGGAGACAGAACCUGGAAAGGCCUGUCUCUGAAACCGCAAGGGCCUUAGGAUGAGUUGACGGCAGAUUAGGCAGUUGGCGGUGUAAAGGACCACCAAACCUAAGAUCUGUAGGGGAGAUGAGAGUCUGAGCCUCGAGAAGGACACUGAGAAAAGGGUCCUAGCCCUACGGGGUGCAGCAGUUGCGAAACCUUUGCAAUGCGCGCAAGCGUGACAAGGGAACUCUACGUGCUUGGAAUUUAUUCCAAGCUUUUGCUAAGUGUAAAAAGCUUGGCGAAUAAGUGGUGGGCAAGACCGGUGCCAGCCGCCGCGGUAAUCCCGGCGCCACAAGUGGCGUUCACGUUUAUUGGGUCUAAAGCAUCCGUAGCCGGCUUGUUAAGUCUCCUGUGAAAUUCGGCACUCUAAGUGUCGAGCGUGCAGGAGAUACUGGCGAGCUAGAGACUGGGAGGAGCAGACGGUAUUCUUGGGGGAGCGGUAAAAUGUUUUAAUCCCAAGAGGACCACCGAUGGCGAAGGCAGUCUGCUAGAACAGCUCUGACGGUGAGGGAUGAAAGCUGGGGGAGCAAAUUGGAUUAGAUACCCAAGUAGUCCCAGCUGUAAACGCUGCCUGUUUGGUGCGACGAUUUCUUCGAGAAAUCGUGGUGCCGUAGCGAAGGCGUUAAACAGGCCACCUGGGGAGUACGGCCGCAAGACUGAAACUUGAAGGAAUAGGCGGGAGAACACUACAAGGGGUGAAUGCUGCGGCUCAAUUGGAUUCAACGCCCGGAACCUUACUAGCAGCGACAGCAGAAUGAAGGUCCUCCUGAAUGGGGUACUCGACACGCUGAGAGGUGGUGCAUGGCCGUCGUAAGCUCGUGCCGUGAGGUGUUCAGUUAAGUCUGAGAACGAGCGAGACCUGUGUUUCUAUUUGCUAUCCUUAUUUUCGAAAGAUGAUGGGGAGCACAAUAGAGAGACUGCUGGCGUAAGCCAGAGGAAGGUGCAGGCGACGAUAGGUCUGUAUGCCCCAAAUCUGCUAGGCUGCACGUGGCAUGCAUUGGUUGAGACAACGGGCUGCAACCCCGAAAGGAGAAGCUAAUCCCUUAACCUCAACCCUGUUCGAAUCGAGGACUGCAAUUCGUCCUCGUGAAGGCGAAAUCCCUAGUAACCGUGUUUUAGCAUAGCAUGGCGAAUACGUCCCUGUUCUUUGCACUCACUGCCCGUCAACCCAUUCGAGUCGGGUCCGGAUGAGGUCUCUGCUGAAGAGUUCAAAUCCGGGUUCGAUGAGGCGGGGUAAGUCGACACAAGGUA
rnacentral:rRNA from 1 species